GGUCCUGUGGCCCAAUGGAUAAGGCGUGUGCCUCCUAAGUACAAGAUUCCGGGUUCGAGUCCCGGCAGGACCU